GAGUCAUUAAUGACAUAAUUUUCAUUUUUGGCUGAACUAAGGCUUUAAGGCCUGGGUACACUUCACAUUCAGCGUUCCAUUUCGUCUCGCGCACAGCCGCGUCCGCACAGCUUUCAAAAGUAUACUCAACCGCAGAUGACCGUGGACGGAUGAACUCGACACAUUCGCAGUACCACGGGGUGAGCGGCUGUCCACGAGCCCUCUUCAUUACGAAAAUAACGUAAUGCUGAAGAUGCGCAGACGGCCGAAAUAUACUCUGGCCUUUACUUGAUCGGCAACCGGCCGUUUUUUGCCUUAUUGCAACUCUCUGUUCUGGAUAAUAUCUGGGUGAGCUGUCUCUCUCACUCACUCACAACCCUCUACGGACACCUUGGCAAUUGAAUCGCCAUUGGCUAAUAUUAGACAUCAUUUAGUUGCCGGAAUGAAGAUUUAGUCGCAUAUGCGAUUGAUUCACUCACAAUGUAGAGGGUUGACUCAUGCGGCUCUCUUACCGUCACUGUGUGCAGGAGGUGUUCCACUCACGGCUGCUGAAGGAGGAAGAGGAGGACCGAAUGCAGGAGGAGGAAGAGGAGGUGUUCCUCUCACAGCCGCUGGAGGAGGAAGAGGAGGACCGAAUGCAGGAGGAGGAAGAGGAGGUGUUCCUCUCACAGCCGCUGGAGGAGGAAGAGGAGGUCCGGCCCCUUGAGGAGGAGGACCAAAUGUCUGAGGGGGAGUCAUAACAUUCAGCGCAGGAGGAGCUACACGUCAGAAGAGGAGAAAGCAGAACAUCAAUGAGCAUUACACAACACUAUCAAGGAAUAAAGCUAUUCACUCUGCAUAAUCUGAACCAGCUUUGGCUUCACCAUCUCAUUCAAACGGUCCUGCAGUGAAUGAAAAGGAACUUCUAAAAGCAGAAAUACUACAUGCAGCUCAAUUAACGUGAGGUCAUUAAAUAAUAACAGCAGAAUCAGAGUGACCAAGUUGUGCCAAUUAUUCAAUGAGGUUUCAUUUAUGUCAUGAAUAACAAGUUCAGUUGAGGUCAAAAGUUUACACCCUCCUUUCAGAAUCUGCUAAAUGUUAAUUAUUUUACCAAAAUAAGAGGGAUCAUACAAAAUGCAUGUUAUUGUUUAUUUAGUACUGACCCGAAUAAGAUAUUUCACAUAAAAGAUGUUUACAUAUAGUCCACAAGAGAAAAUAAUAGUUGAAUUUAUAAAAAUGACCCCGUUCAAAAGUUUACAUCCCCUUGAUUUUUAACACUGUGUUGUUAGCUGAUUGAUCCACAGCUGUGUUUUUGUGUUUAGUGACAGUUGUUCAUGAGUCCCUUGUUUGUGCUGAACAGUUAAACUGUCUGCUGUUCUUCAGAAAAAUACUUCAGCUCCCACAAAUUCUUUGGUUUUCCAGCAUUUUUGAGUAUUUGAACCCUUUCCAGCAGUGACUGUAUGAUUUUGAGAUCCAUCUUUUCACACUGAGGACAACUGAGGGACUCAAACUCAACUAUUACAGAAGGUUCAAACACUCACUGAUGCUCCAGAAGAAGAAACCAUGCAUUAAGAGCAUGUAGCUUCUAAAGGGCAGUAUGAACUGUAUAUGGAUGCUCAUGCAAAUAGAGUAGCACUAAAG
ensembl:lncRNA